GCCGUGGGGACGGUGUGGGUGCUGCCCGCCAUCAUGGAGGGGGCUGGGGCUGAGACUUUGCUGGAGCCCGGGGGUGUUCCUCGGUCCUUUCCUCUCCUUGCAGGUUUUGCUCUUGCUUUGUCUUUUCUCUUCCCCAGAAGUUAGGGCCCCUCAGCCCUUUGUUCAGUAACGAGGCUCAAACAGCUGCCGUUAACGGCUCGUUCAGCCCUUUGGAAAGCCACAAGCCUCAAAGAGCCUCCAUUACAAGCAGCAAGGGUCGAAUAGCUCCUAUACAGCAAGGUUUAAGUAACUCCUGGUAUAAACAGCGAGGUUUACUCAGCUUCUGUCGUCAGUAAAACUUCCCGAUGGGUCAUUCGGUGCCACGUUCCCUUAUUUGAGCCCCAGAGUACUUCAGACAUGGGUGGUCUCUGAGGGGACUGUCCGGGACCAUCUCGGGAUAACCCUGCUGGUGCUAAAGCAAUGGGCGGGACCAGAGUGGCAGGGGGAUCCUAACAGCUAACUGUCCCAGAGGUCAAAAUGACUCUACCUGGGAGAGUGGAAAAAGCACCCCAUUGUAACUGGCCUGGAGGCUCUGUGCACCCGUGGCAUACGCUACCUCAGGAGAGGGUACUUCAGGGACCCAAAGGAGUGCUGAUAAGCUUUUGGUAUAGCUGCUCUGGCUGUGGAGGAACUGGACAUCAAAAGAAGACUGAUGCAGAUGUCGUGGGGAUUCAGGUGACAUCCAGGAGCGAGCAAAAUGACCUUCCCACUGCUGGAAGAACAGGAGGCACCAGUGAAGGAUUAGGUAGCAUUUGGUGUGCUUUGUCACGUUACUUUCUAUACUAUUUUCUGGAAAUAAUCUCAUUCCGAAUAACAAAUGCAAGGCUUUAAGGAGGCACUUUGGUCACAUUGCCACAAUUGUUGGCCUGGAUGGAAAAGACUUCACAUAUUUGAGUAUAAGUUUGACCUACAGAGGUACUCAUGAGCUGAUAAACACAGCCUGCAAUGAUGAAGGAGAAUUGCCUGCCUCCACAGAACAAAAAGAGAGCUGGAAUGGGUGUGUCAGGCAUGGACCAGCAUGUGUAGAAAAAGUUCUUUGCAGAACAAGUCUUCUUGCUAGACAGAUGCUGCAGUUACGGGUCAGAGGUUCGCUCAGCUUCCCAAUAAAAUAAAUCAAAGGGACCUUGUGGCCUACUACACGUGUAGUAACUUACCUGAGGAUUAACUUCAGCAGCUGUGCUGUGCAGAAGAGAUAGAGAUAGCUCUGUACCAGUAGAAGCUCUUAGCAUCUGCACUACUGCCAGCACUGUUCAGAGACCAAGACACCAUAAACCACCAUACUCUGGGACAAGAAUCUGGGCUGUAGAUGAUUCACCCUCUGAAUCACUGCAGUUAUUGGGUCCAGUAUUGCAGAAAACUAAAUUAGCUAAACAUAUGCAUCAGUAAAUACACAGCCAAAAUACCAGUGAGGAGGCCUCGGUUCACCAUACCUACAAAUUGCUGCUACAGGGAAAUGUUACAGAGUAAGCAUAAAAAUAGCUGAGCAUUGUUCUGCUGAGCUCAUCCACUCCCUUGAGGAUACUGCCCCAGUAGAGAAAAAAUAAUACUAAUAAAAACAUAAAUAUAAAUAUAAAAAAAUCUGCUUGCAAAGCAUUCAACACACUGCACAGAAGCAUGUUUACAGUGAGUGAUUCGCUUGCAACUGUAAUCUAACACAGAAAUGCCAGCUUCUUAGCUGGAUUUAGGUAGUAACACCUUCAUUUUUUGAUCUGGGUAAGCAGGCAGGUGCUUUUCUGAGCCGGCUCAACAAGAGGAUACAAAACAGAGAAGAGUUUUGCCAAGUGGCUUUUCAGCAUCUCUCAAGUCCAGCUGAGACUGAAAUGAUUUGAGUGCACAUUAAAUUUUGUUUGUUCCUAGAUCCAAAACCAAAAACCAUGGAGGAAAAUAUAUAUCUGUGUAUUUUCUGAUCUGUUACAAGGUGCAGCCUGACUACAAAAUUCUGGUGACUUAUUUUGUUUAAAACUAUCUUAAUCUCUGUAAUACCACUGGUUAUUUUUGCAGGAAGAUUUAGAGAUCUAUUGCUUAUUUCUGUUCUUCAUCUUUUAGAUGAAAACUCGAGACUUCUUGAUCAUAAAGUAACCCUCCAGAUCUGAAGUAAUAAAGACACUGCUCUUUCAGAAAAGAAAGCCUCUCUAACAUUGGCUUCACUGGGUACUAGGUGCUCAUGGCUGACUUUCUUUCCUUUCUCUUUAUAAGUUCUGGGACUAUGUGCUUUCCAUAGCUUGGUUGCCACUUCAGGUGGUGAGCCCAAUGGGUAUGUUAUGUCAAUUCAGUGACACUUGCAGUCAGCUCUCUGGGCAUGUACUUCACUGAGCAAUUUGACAUCAGUUGUGUGUGUUAGUCCUCUGUGCCUUAUGCGUGUUUUAUUCUCUGUCUCCCUUCAAGUGACAUAACCUUUGGAUUCCAAAACUAACAUGCAGUGGUAAUUUAGUCAUACUUUUUGCAUUUCUGGUUGGAUAAAGAGGAGGAAAGGUGCACUGAAAACUGAGAAAUGGAGAAGUAAGCCAAAUACCCAUUCUGGGAUUCAAUGAGGAGCAAGUGG